UACGUAGGGUGCGAGCGUUGUCCGGAAUUAUUGGGCGUAAAGAGCUUGUAGGCGGUUUGUCGCGUCUGCUGUGAAAUCCGGGCUCAACCCGGACUUGCAGUGGGUACGGGCAGACUAGAGUGUGGUAGGGGAGACUGGAAUUCCUGGUGUAGCGGUGAAAUGCGCAGAUAUCAGGAGGAACACCGAUGGCGAAGGCAGGUCUCUGGGCCACUACUGACGCUGAGAAGCGAAAGCUGGGGAGCGAACAGG
rnacentral:rRNA from 1 species